CAAUGGACGAAAGUCUGACGCAGCAACGCCGCGUGGGUGAUGAAGGUCUUCGGAUCGUAAAACCCUGUCGUCAGGGACGAAGGUUGCAUGCCUAACAGGUGUGUAACUUGACGGUACCUGGAGAGGAAGCCCCGGCUAACUCUGUGCCAGCAGCCGCGGUAAUACAGAGGGGGCAAGCGUUAUUCGGAAUUAUUGGGCGUAAAGGGCGCGUAGGCGGUGAUUUAAGUGAGAUGUGUAAUCCCUGGGCUUAACCUGGGAACUGCAUCUCAGACUGGAUCGCUAGAGUGCUGGAGAGGGUGGUAGAAUUCCACGUGUAGCGGUGAAAUGCGUAGAGAUGUGGAGGAAUACCAGUGGCGAAGGCGGCCACCUGGACAGUAACUGACGCUGAGGCGCGAAAGUGUGGGUAGCAAACAGGAUUAGAUACCCUGGUAGUCCACGCUGUAAACGAUGAACACUUGGUGUGGUGGGAGUUGACCCCUGCCGUGCCGUAGCUAACGCGAUAAGUGUUCCGCCUGGGGAGUACGGUCGCAAGGCUG
rnacentral:rRNA from 1 species